AGAGUUUGAUUCUGGCUCAGGACGAACGCUGGCGGCGUGCUUAACACAUGCAAGUCGAACGGAAAGGUCUCUUCGGAGAUACUCGAGUGGCGAACGGGUGAGUAACACGUGGGUAAUCUGCCCUGCACUUCGGGAUAAGCCUGGGAAACUGGGUCUAAUACCGAAUAUGACCACGAGGCGCAUGUCUUGUGGUGGAAAGCUUUUGCGGUGUGGGAUGGGCCCGCGGCCUAUCAGCUUGUUGGUGGGGUGAUGGCCUACCAAGGCGACGACGGGUAGCCGGCCUGAGAGGGUGUCCGGCCACACUGGGACUGAGAUACGGCCCAGACUCCUACGGGAGGCAGCAGUGGGGAAUAUUGCACAAUGGGCGCAAGCCUGAUGCAGCGACGCCGCGUGGGGGAUGACGGCCUUCGGGUUGUAAACCUCUUUCAGCAGGGACGAAGCGCAAGUGACGGUACCUGCAGAAGAAGCACCGGCCAACUACGUGCCAGCAGCCGCGGUAAUACGUAGGGUGCGAGCGUUGUCCGGAAUUACUGGGCGUAAAGAGCUCGUAGGUGGUUUGUCGCGUUGUUCGUGAAAACCGAGGGCUUAACUCUCGGCGUGCGGGCGAUACGGGCAGACUAGAGUACUGCAGGGGAGACUGGAAUUCCUGGUGUAGCGGUGGAAUGCGCAGAUAUCAGGAGGAACACCGGUGGCGAAGGCGGGUCUCUGGGCAGUAACUGACGCUGAGGAGCGAAAGCGUGGGGAGCGAACAGGAUUAGAUACCCUGGUAGUCCACGCCGUAAACGGUGGGUACUAGGUGUGGGUUUCCUUCCUUGGGAUCCGUGCCGUAGCUAACGCAUUAAGUACCCCGCCUGGGGAGUACGGCCGCAAGGCUAAAACUCAAAGAAAUUGACGGGGGCCCGCACAAGCGGCGGAGCAUGUGGAUUAAUUCGAUGCAACGCGAAGAACCUUACCUGGGUUUGACAUGCACAGGACGCGUCUAGAGAUAGGCGUUCCCUUGUGGCCUGUGUGCAGGUGGUGCAUGGCUGUCGUCAGCUCGU
rnacentral:rRNA from 1 species